rnacentral:rRNA from 1 species
GGGUGCGUAACGCGUAUGCAACCUGCCCCCGACCGGGACAAAACAGCUGGAAACGGCCGCUAAUAUCCCAUGGUUACCGAGGAGGGCAUCCUUUUCGGUAUAAAGAUUCAUUGGUCGGGGAUGGGCAUGCGUAUUAUUAGGUAGUUGGCGGGGUAACGGCCCACCAAGCCGACGAUGAUUAGGGGUUCUGAGAGGAUUAACCCCCACACUGGAACUGAGACACGGUCCAGACUCCUACGGGAGGCAGCAGUAGGGAAUAUUGGGCAAUGGAGGAAACUCUGGCCCAGCCAUGCCGCGUGAAGGAAGACGGCCCUAUGGGUUGUAAACUUCUUUUGCCGCAGAGUAAAGCCCGCCACGCGUGGCGGUUUGAGAGUAUGCGGCGAAUAAGUAUCGGCUAACUCCGUGCCAGCAGCCGCGGUAAUACGGGGGAUACGAGCGUUAUCCGGAUUUAUUGGGUUUAAAGGGUGCGCAGGCGGAUCGGUAAGUCAGGGGUGAAAAGUUGGGGCUCAACUCCAAUCGUGCCUUUGAUACUGCCGGACUAGAGUGCGAUAGACGUGGCCGGAAUGUGAUGUGUAGCGGUGAAAUGCUUAGAUAUGUCACAGAACACCGAUCGAGAAGUC